AGAGUUUGAUCAUGGCUCAGGAUGAACGCUAGCUACAGGCUUAACACAUGCAAGUCGAGGGGCAGCAUGUUGGUUGCUUGCAACCAAUGAUGGCGACCGGCGCACGGGUGAGUAACGCGUAUCCAACCUACCCUUGUCCAUCGGAUAACCCGUCGAAAGGCGGCCUAACACGAUAUGCGGUUCACAGCAGGCAUCUAAGGUGAACGAAAUGUGAAGGAGAAGGAUGGGGAUGCGUCUGAUCAGCUUGUUGGCGGGUAACGCCACAAGGCUACGAUCAGUAGGGGUUCUGAGAGGAAGGUCCCCANAUUGGAACUGAGACACGGUCCAAAAUCCUACGGGAGGCA
rnacentral:rRNA from 1 species